rnacentral:rRNA from 1 species
AGUGAACGCUGGCGGUAGGCCUUACACAUGCAAGUCGAACGGCAUCACAGUAAGAGCUUGCUCUUACGGGUGGCGAGUGUAGGACGGGUGAGGAAUACAUCGGAAUCUACUUUUUCGUGGGGUAUAACGUAUGGAAACUUACGCUAAUACCGCAUACGACCUACGGGUGAAAGCAGGGGAUCUUCGGACCUUGCGCGAUUUAAUGAGCCGAUGUCGGAUUAGCUAUUUGGCGGGGUAAAGGCCCACCAAGGCGACGAUCAGUAGCUGGUCUGAGAGGAUGAGCAGAGACAGUGGAACUGAGACACGGUGCAGAAUCCUAAGGGAGGCAGCAGUGGGGAAUAUUGGACAAGGAGCGCAAGCCUGAUCCAGGCAUACCGCGUAGGUGAAGAAGGCCUUCGGGUUGUAAAGCACGUUUGUUGGGAAAGAAAAGCAGCAGGUUAAUACCCCGCUGUUCUGACGGUACCCAAAGAAUAAGCACCGGCUAACUUCGUG